GGCUUUACGCAGUGGCGGUACCGUAGCCAAUGAAGUUUUAUCUGAGGCGCGGUUAUUACUAGUUGAAACCUACUCCCAGUACCUCGCACUGAUGGCGUGAAAUAUUGUCGUCAGAUGCAAUUUUUCCAGGCUGUCAAAGGC
rnacentral:snRNA from 1 species